rnacentral:rRNA from 1 species
AUGAACGCUGGCGGCGUGCCUAAUACAUGCAAGUCGAGCGAACAGACGAGGAGCUUGCUCCUCUGACGUUAGCGGCGGACGGGUGAGUAACACGUGGAUAACCUACCUAUAAGACUGGGAUAACUUCGGGAAACCGGAGCUAAUACCGGAUAAUAUAUUGAACCGCAUGGUUCAAUAGUGAAAGACGGUUUUGCUGUCACUUAUAGAUGGAUCCGCGCCGCAUUAGCUAGUUGGUAAGGUAACGGCUUACCAAGGCAACGAUGCGUAGCCGACCUGAGAGGGUGAUCGGCCACACUGGAACUGAGACACGGUCCAGACUCCUACGGGAGGCAGCAGUAGGGAAUCUUCCGCAAUGGGCGAAAGCCUGACGGAGCAACGCCGCGUGAGUGAUGAAGGUCUUCGGAUCGUAAAACUCUGUUAUUAGGGAAGAACAAAUGUGUAAGUAACUAUGCACGUCUUGACGGUACCUAAUCAGAAAGCCACGGGUAACUACGUG